UACGAAGGGGGCUAGCGUUGUUCGGAAUUACUGGGCGUAAAGCGUAUGCAGGCGGAUCGUGAAGUCGGGGGUGAAAUCCCGAGGCUCAACCUCGGAACUGCCUUCGAUACUGGCGAUCUUGAGUCCGGGAGAGGUGAGUGGAACUCCGAGUGUAGAGGUGAAAUUCGUAGAUAUUCGGAAGAACACCAGUGGCGAAGGCGGCUCACUGGCCCGGUACUGACGCUGAGAUACGAAAGCGUGGGGAGCAAACAGG
rnacentral:rRNA from 1 species